rnacentral:rRNA from 1 species
AUUGAACGCUGGCGGCAGGCCUAACACAUGCAAGUCGAACGGAGUGGCGGACGGGUGAGUAACGCGUGAGUAACUGCCCCCCUCUCUGGGAUAACAGUUGGAAACGGCUGCUAAUACCGGAUAGUGGGGGGGGACUCGCGUUCUAUCGGCUUGUUGGUGGGGUAGUGGCCGACCAAGGCGACGACGGGGAGCCGGCCUGAGAGGGCGACCGGCCACAUGGGGCUUGGAUACGGACCGAACUCCUACGGGAGGUAGCAGUGGGAAAUAUUGCACAAUGGGGGAACCCCUGAUGCAGGAACGCGCGGGCGGGAGGACGUCCGUCGGGUUGUAAACCGCUUUAAGCCAUGACGCGGUAGUGGCAUAAGAAGCACCGGCUAACUACGUGCCAGCAGCCGCGGUAAUAC